rnacentral:tRNA from 1 species
GGGGUGAUAUAUCAGUUGGGAGAUAGCACGACUGAAGAUCGUGAGGUCAUCGGUUCGAUCCCGAUUCAUCCCA